UGGAAACACUUUCGUUUAGAAUUACAGGAC
rnacentral:piRNA from 1 species